rnacentral:sRNA from 2 species
GAUUCGAACCUGCAGCAGGUUCGGGUCGAACGCAGUGAGACAACGGAGCCGCUUGCGGCGACGGCCCGAAGGGCGAGGCGAAGCCGAGUCAUCCUGCACGACCCACCA